rnacentral:rRNA from 1 species
AUACGGAGGAUCCGAGCGUUAUCCGGAUUUAUUGGGUUUAAAGGGUGCCCAGGCGGCCAUUUAAGUCAGCGGUUAAAUCGUGGGGCUCAACCCCAUUCUGCCGUUGAUACUGGGUGGCUUGAUUGCGGUCGAGGUUGGCGGAAUUCGUUGUGUAGCGGUGAAAUGCAUAGAUAUGACGAAGAACACCGAUUGCGUAGGCAGCUGACCAGACCGCAAAUGACGCUCAUGCACGAAAGUGCGGGGAUCGAACAGGAUUAGAUACCCUGGUAGUCCGCACAGUAAACGAUGAAUACUUGUUUUCGGCGAUAUAAUGUCGGAGGCAAAGCGAAAGCGAUAAGUAUUCCACCUGGGGAGUACGCCGGCAACGGUGAAACUCAAAUGAAUUGACGGGG